rnacentral:misc_RNA from 1 species
GCAUAAAUAAUGUUUCCCUACUCUGUGCAUGUGUGUGUGUUGUUACAAUUAUUCAUUGCGGUGUUCUGACUAUCAUAGGAGGGGGGAGCAGAGAUGCAGAGGGAACCAGUCAGUCAGAUCUUGAGAACAAGUUAUAUGAUGGUAGCAUGUAGUUUCUCGAAUUCUCAAUAUAGCUGGUUCUUUCAUCGAGUCCCUUGAGUAACUACUUGUUAGUGAGAUUAAAGGUUCUUUUAAUCAA